rnacentral:rRNA from 1 species
UACGAAGGGAGCUAGCGUUGUUCGGAAUCACUGGGCGUAAAGCGCACGUAGGCGGAUGUGUCAGUCAGGGGUGAAAUCCCGGAGCUCAACUUCGGAACUGCCUUUGAUACAGCACGUCUUGAGUCCGAUAGAGGUGGGUGGAAUUCCUAGUGUAGAGGUGAAAUUCGUAGAUAUUCGCAAGAACACCAGUGGCGAAAGGGCGGCUCACUGGCCCGGUACUGACGCUGAGGCACGAAAGCGUGGGGAGCAAACAGGG